CUUAGGCAGGGUGCUGGGCUUUGCCGUCCUGUCUGACUUAGGCAGGGGCGCUGAGCUUUGCCCUCGUGUCUGACUUAGGCAGGGGCGCUGGGCUUUGCCCUCCUGUCUGACUUAGGUAGGGGCGCUGGGCUUUGGAGCGUGUCCUGUGUCAAAGGUACUGCUGUCUUGAGGGAAGAAUUAUCAGCCCAAGGUAAGAUUCCUUGGAGACACUCAGGCUUUGGAAAACACAAAUAGAUGCUGCUCUCGUGGAGAAAGGUGUUCAUUAUUCUGUUUAAACCAAGUCAGAGGAAAGUAUUUUAAAUACCCUCCAAAGCUCCCGGAAAUGCAGGGCCCACCUGUCUGUUCAAAGACAGACCAACAUCCUUCGUGUGAGCUGCAGCCUAAGCAGGGGUCUGGUGUGGACGCCACGUGACACACUCACCGUCUCCUCCGGAUUUCUCACUGGGUUCCUCUGGGGACCACGCAGGACCCGCACUAGAUGAGCAUCACUGAGGCUGCAAGCCGGUGUGCAGACCCCUUCCAGACGCUCCCCCGCCGUCCAGUGUGCCCUGUAGAGGACUCAGUGCAAGUGGCCUCAAAAGGCCAUUCACAUUCACAUUCUCAGUGAGACCAAAGAGAAGGAGACCAAGUGUCCUGACCCCUCUGACAGCCAGAGUUACCCCAGCACACCCUAGAUCAGCAGUUCUCAAAGUGGGCUCCCGGGGCAGCAACCUCAGCGUCACCUGGGAGCUUGGGAAGAGGAGCUCGUGUUCUUAGGGCCCUCCCUAGAGCCGCUGAAUCAGAAACUUUGGGAUGGGGUCUGUCAAUCUGUGUUUGGACAAGUUCCCCAGUGACUGUCACACACCAUGAAGUCUGAGAACCACUGUUCCAAACCGAGGCUUCUAACUGGAUGUUCAUUCCCAGCCAUUUGGAAGGCUCAGCUGAAAGCCAGUGAGCCAGAAGCCAGCUCCACUGAUCCUGCUUUCCAGACUGGCCAUUCUCACAAUGUUCCAUUAGGCAAUAGGGCUCUUCGGGGAAAUUAAUAGAAUGUAGGCUUCAGGAAUCAUCAGAAAGCUGCAGCUUCCCUCGUCAGGGAAGCUGACGUCUACAUCGUCCUCAGUCUAGAACAAGAAUAAUAGGUGUACCUUAGAAAAAUGUGCUUUCAGUCCAUCAGUAAAAAGCCAAUAUUGUAAAAUCCUAUUAUCUUUGCUUCAAGUGUUAUCAAAAAAAUAAUAAUAAUAAAAUAAAGGCUUAGAAGUUUCACUGUUCAACAUGGCAUUUCGAAAUAUUCGAUGUAAUUGUUGUC
rnacentral:lncRNA from 1 species